rnacentral:rRNA from 1 species
UGCGGCACACAGCUCAGUAGCACGUGGCCAACCUGCCCUUGGGACGGGAACACCCCGGGAAACUGGGGCUAAUUCCCGAUAGGUGAAGAUUCCUGGAAUGGGUUUUCGCCGAAAAGACGUUUAUGGCAUGCUCCUAAGCGUUGCCUAAGGAUGGGGCCGCGGCCGAUCAGGUUGUUGGUGAGGUAAUGGCUCACCAAGCCUUUAACCGGUUCGGGCCGUGGGAGCGGUAGCCCGGAGAUGGGCACUGAGACAAGGGCCCAGGCCCUACGGGGCGCAGCAGUCGCGAAAACUUCGCAAUAAGCGAAAGCUUGACGGGGCCAUCCCGAGUGCCAUCUGCUGAGGAUGGCUUUUACCCAGUGUAGAUAGCUGGGGGAAUAAGGAGAGGGCAAGUCUGGUGUCAGCCGCCGCGGUAAUACCAGCUCUCCGAUUGUGGGGACGUUUAUUGAGCCUAAAGCAUCCGUAGCCGGCUGGGCAAGUCCUCUGUUAAAUCCAGCGACAAAUCGUUGUCCUGCGGGGAAUACUGCUCGGCUAGGGGCCGGGAGAGCCCGUCGGUAUUCUUGGGGUAGGGGUGAAAUCCUAUAAUCCCAGGAGGACCACCAGUGGCGAAGGCUGUCGGCUAGAACGCGCCCGACGGUGAGGGAUGAAAGCUGGGGGAGCGAACCGGAUUAGAUACCCGGGUAGUCCCAGCUGUAAACGAUGCAGGCUAGGUGUUAGAGCGGCUACGUGCCGCUCUAGUGCCGCAGGGAAGCUGUUAAGCCUGCCGCUUGGGGAGUACGCCG